rnacentral:lncRNA from 1 species
CCCCCUCCCCCUCCUCGCCCGCGAGGCUCCCCUGACUGUGGCCCCGGGCUCCUCCCGCCGCCCCUCCCCGCAGUCCCAGGCUCCUCUCCCAGCUCCUCCCCCCAGCCUCGCAUCCCCCGCAGCCCCGCGUCCCCCUCCCAGCCCAGCGCCCGUCCCCGCUCGCUCCCGGAGCCACUGCCCUCCCCCGUCAGCCUCCUUCGAGCUUAUUCUCUGGGCCUCUGGACCACAACAAGGUCCGCAGCCCGAAGGUCCCCAACCGGUGGGUUUGAUCGCGGUGGGGAGGACAGGGCAGGACUUCGCGGGGCGGGCGGUGAGUGCAGAAAGUCCACACCCGCAGCUGCCCUCCCAGCCCUGUGGGCACGGCCGCUCUGCGAGGUCAGUCGCCCCCUUCUCUCCGCGGACCGUCGCGGCUGUUAGAAUGCGCCUCCUCCUUUACUGCCGUUUCCCCAUUGCCCCAGACACGGUGCGUGACAUCGGUGCUCAGGAAAUAUUCGUGGAAGGAGUAAACGACUGGGUGGGCUUUCGCUGCUGUUUCUUAGCGCUCGCAUCAGUUUUCUGCCUCCUCCGCCCUUCAGGGCCCUCGUUCUCUGUGUCUUCAUAGGCACCUGUUCGUGGGCAGGCCUGGAGGUCCCGAAAAUGAAGGCUGAGCGGGUCAUGCAAGGGAAACCUGGAGAGGGAAAGUGACAGUGCAGGCAGCAGCUGCCUCCCUGCCAAGCCUCUGAAUCUGAGACCCCUCCCAGUUCCAACCCCAGGAGCCUCAAGGGUUUGCACGGACCAGGAAAUGGAGGCUCAGAGACUAGAGGGAUGAAUAUACACAGCCAGCGAGUGCUGGCCUUCAACAGAAACAUUCUGAUACAAAUUCACUUCCAAAGAAGAGGAUGCUACUAUCUGUGGAGGUAGGAUAUGUGGAGGUCAAGGUAUAGAUUCAAACCUGAAUCAGAUCUGAGCAGAAAUGGACUUCUCGAGAGCCACUAUUAUUAUGGUCACACAUACAGUCCCUGGAAAUAAUGCAG